rnacentral:rRNA from 1 species
GACGAACGCUGGCGGCGUGCCUAAUACAUGCAAGUCGAGCGAAGUUUUUCUGGUUCUUUCACUUUAAAAACUUAGCGUCGUACGUUUUAGUCACACGUAAAGAACCUUCCUCUUAGACUUGUACUACUAUUGGUUACUAUAUCUAAUACCGUAUAACAGUAUUUCUCUCUUGUUUGUUAUUUAAAAGUUUUUUUUUCUAACACUUUGAUAUUUCUUUGCGUUUCAUUAGCUAGUUGGUUGGGUAAAGGCCCACCAAGGCGACGAUGCAUAGCCGACCGGAGAGGGUGAUCGGCCACACGGGAAGUGAGACACGGACAAGACUACUACGGGAGGCAGCAGAAGGGAAUAUUCCGCAAUGGGCGAAAGCAUGACGGAGCAACGCCGCGUGAGAGAAGAAGGAUUUCGGUUCGUAAAGAUCUGUUGUUAGGGAAGAAAGGAUAUGUAUUAACAAUAAAUGUAAGAGACGGUACCUAAACAGAAAGCAACGGCUAACUACGUG